GAUGAACGCUGGCGGCGUGCCUAACACAUGCAAGUCGAGCGAGGGUUUGCUCAGUAUUGAGUAUUCUAAGACUAGAAUGUUCAAUUCUGAGCAAAACCAAGCGGCGGACGGGUGAGUAACGCGUGGGUAACCUGCCCUAUACACAUGGAUAACAUACUGAAAAGUUUACUAAUACAUGAUAAUAUAUAUUUGCGGCAUCGCAGAUAUAUCAAAGUGUUAGCGGUAUAGGAUGGACCCGCGUCUGAUUAGCUAGUUGGUGAGAUAACUGCCCACCAAGGCGACGAUCAGUAGCCGACCUGAGAGGGUGAUCGGCCACAUUGGAACUGAGACACGGUCCAAACUCCUACGGGAGGCAGCAGUGGGGAAUAUUGCACAAUGGGCGAAAGCCUGAUGCAGCAACGCCGCGUGAACGAUGAAGGUCUUCGGAUCGUAAAGUUCUGUUGCAGGGGAAGAUAAUGACGGUACCCUGUGAGGAAGCCCCGGCUAACUACGUGCCAGCAGCCGCGGUAAUACGUAGGGGGCUAGCGUUAUCCGGAUUUACUGGGCGUAAAGGGUGCGUAGGUGGUCCUUCAAGUCGGUGGUUAAAGGCUACGGCUCAACCGUAGUAAGCCGCCGAAACUGGAGGACUUGAGUGCAGGAGAGGAAAGUGGAAUUCCCAGUGUAGCGGUAAAAUGCGUAGAUAUUGGGAGGAACACCAGUAGCGAAGGCGGCUUUCUGGACUGCAACUGACACUGAGGCACGAAAGCGUGGGUAGCAAACAGG
rnacentral:rRNA from 1 species